GGGCCCAGCCGGCAGCUCUGCCCCGGCCCAACCAAUCAGGGCCCGGUGGGGUUGGGGGAAAUCGGGCCGUGGGCUUUAAAAGCGGAGCCCUUUGUGCACCACAGCCUGGCGGCAGCGACGGGGUUGGGGUACGCGUGUCCCCGCAGCCGGGGGGCAGCGGCCUCGGGGCGGCUGCGAGGGACCCCGGCUGUCUCCGGGCAGGCACAUCAUGCUGAUGGUAGAGUGGAUGACACAGCUCUGUGCCCCCCACUGUCCUGUGAGAGCAGAGGACAGAAGGGGCAUUCCUAAGGACCGACACUUGCAAGCAACACGUGCAGGAAGCCAUUGGCAGGAGCAGAAGCCAGGGCUGACGCUGGGAUCCUGCUGCACUGUAGGACUCACAGUCCCUGGGGGGAGGUGGGAGUGACACGGCUCAGCUGCUGCCCCUGUGCAAGGACUGUUAUGCAAAUUGAAAGGAGCCAGGAAACCAGCUGAGAGGCUGUGGGGGCCAAAGUGAGGCUCACUUUCCUCUCUCGCCUCUGAGUCACCACAGCUUUCCUGGCCUUGAGACACUGCUUUGGUUCCUGCCCAGAGCCGUGGCUCCUUCCAUUGCUGCAAGCCACUAUGGCCUGGACCUGUGGGUGUCCUGGGUUGGGGCUGAAGUCACUGCAGUGGUGAUGGGACAGUGUCUAUGAGUCCAAGCGCUUGGCUAUUGUACAGUCUCCUGAAAUGUCACUAUGCUGGUGGCACUUUGUUGCCCCUGCAGCCCGUUUCCUCCUUUCCCACCUGCCAUUCCAUGCUGAGCACAGCACACAUUUGGAAACACAAACACAGUCAACUGCCUUCCUGUCUGUUGGCUUCCUCUGCUUGUGGCCUUGCUUUACAGAGUAGCUUCUUAAGAAAACAAAACAAAGGUUGUGCUUUGCUUAUUAUAUGUGCACAGGCACAUACACAUGUGUGUGGCUGGUACAUUUCUAAUAAACUUUGACCACAUUUCCAUCCCAGUGUAUGGAGGGGCAGGAAUCUGCAAACAUGCUCAGGUCAGUAGGGCUGGGCAAAGUGCAGCUGGGGGUGGGGUGGAUCAUUCCUGGGGGUGCCCUGCAGCACAACCCCAUAUUAGACAGUGGAGAAGCAACAGUGUCCAACUGUCCAAUGUGCCCUGCUUCUAGGAUAAGCUUUGAUCCAUUUUGGAAAUGGUAUUGUCCUCAGUCUUAGAAAAAAGAAAAAGCAGAUAAUUUUUUAGAUAAACAAAACUUUGGAAAGAGCCUUUGCAGUGGGAAGCUGAGCAGCUGCCUGGAAUUAGGGUAGUGGGGCAUGAGGAAGGCAAGGCAGCCUCAGGGCUGUUACAAGGGCUGCUGUACUGUGCUUGGGGCUGAGCACAGCCCUGGCAUUGAGCCUGGUUGUGAUGGAUCCAUGUGGAGCAGUGAUACCACGCUGCUGGAAUGGCAGGUUGGCACUGUCCUGCAGUAGCACCCUCCUGGGGAUCCUAAAUGCCCAUUCCUGUUGUUGUCAUUGCUGGGACCCCUCCAGCCCACUGCUGCCCUCAGCGUUUCCCAUCCUGACCAGGAAAUGGAGUAGUCUGCUUUAUGGGAAGUGCUGUGGUUACAUGAGGCGCAUGCUUUGUACUGUCCCCAUUACUCAGUGUUUCUCUAAGCACCCUGGUACACAGCAUGCAGGAUUUUGGCUCUCACAGUCUUUGCAGUCACAGAGGGAAGCUUGAAAAUGGAAAUGAAGGCCAAGGGAAAAAGAGCUCCCCUGGGCUGUAGAAUUUUGCAGAUAGCACCGGUGGUUCGGACCUGGCUUGGUGCUUUUGGGUCACUCCAGAACCCACACACAAUUCUCUGUGCCUGAUUCUGACCUUUAUUUCUGCCUGAAAAACAAACCUGCUCCUGUGCUGCCGGGCAGAGGUGGGUGCCCUGCAGGUCCCUGUGGCCAUCACCACAUGCACGCUGGGGAUGUGGCUCCCUGCUCCGAGCCCUUCUGUGGGACAUGGGCUCAGAACAUCCCACCGGCACGGCGUUGUGCUGCCGAGCCCCUUCACAAGGAAGGAUGGAGAAGGGAACGUAGUGUUUAAUGCCUGCGGGAUGCCCCGCUGUUGCAUGCGGCAGGAGGGGAUGCGCGGGGCAGCGGCGUAGGCCGCGGCUCUUUGUUUCCCCCCCUGCGCUGCGGUCCUCCAUGAUGUGCAGAGCGGGCGAGGCCGGCGCUGCGAAAUGGCGGCCGAGGGAGGCGGGGAUCGGGGGGAGGAGGAGGACGGAGGUGGGGAAGGCCGGGCGCCAUGCGGCCUACCCGAGCGCCGCCACGCCGCCACGCACACAAAAGGCUGCAGGGAAAACACGGAGGGCAGCGGGACGCCGUGCGGAGCGGCCUCUAUGGUACAGGGACACCAGUGUCCCCUCUGUGCUGUUAUGGGGCAUCUGUGGGGUCACACCACGGCCAACGGGGUCAGCAGUGUCCCGCCGUGACUGCUGGGGGACGGGAACGUCUCUCUGAGGUCGCACAGCCCGGUGGGGUGAAACCCCUUGGAGAGACCCUCUGUGCAGGAUGGGUGGGGAAUGGGGUGGGGUGGCAUUGUGGACAUGGGGGCAGAUGGGUGGAUGCUCUGUUACCCCCAACUGCAUUGCCAAAGCAACCCCAUCUCUUGUCCCCUUGUCGCCGUGCCAGUCUCCACGCCAUGCCCAGCAAUGCGUUCUGAUCCCUGUCCUGCUUUGGGUCUGUCCUGCAUUGCACUACAGCAGCUAUGAGUGCUGCUGAGCACGCUGUGCCCAUACAUGUCCUGGGACAAAGCCAUGCUGGGGAAACUCAGCAAGUCAGGACACAAAGCUGCUUUGUGCCCCGUGUUUUGUCUUAAAGGCACAAUGUCUCUUUCUGGGGUGGCUGGAAAAAGUGCAGGUCUUGUGCCUUGGAGAUCCACACUCCAUGGGGACCCACCUAGCAGCAAUGAGAGGAUACUAAAGGAGUCCCUUACGUUUUGGGAUGGGGCCCACCCUAGGGGGGAGGUUUGCCCAACCAUGGAAACCCCAGUCCUCAAGCAGGUCUGGCCUCUUCAGCAAGUCAGGCUGGUUUCAAGGUGCUGCGGGGCCAGGCGGGUCCCAAUCCCCCUGCCUGGCCCCAUAGUGGCUCACCAAGGUCCACUCGGACUACUGCCAUCCCAAAGUGGGGACGGCAGUGCUGGGGUGAGGAAUGGAGGACAGCUGUGCUCCAUCUGUGAUCAGGGGCUGGACUGGUGGUGGGAGGGGCUGGGACCAUUGCCUAGGGCAAUUCUGUGCUGGGGAAGCCAUGAGGAGGGUGAGGCUGACCCACGCGUGUAGAACAGUGCUAUCCCCUAAGCUCCCAGUGCUGGGAGGGGGCAAAGAGCAGAAAUCCCUUCUCCCUCCACUCCUUGCUGUUAGCUGUGAUGAGGUUGCUCAGGUCUCAGCCUAGUCGCAAUGAGCAAGGGGAGGAGAGGGGAGGAAGUUCAUGCCAGAGCCCCAAGCCCCCAGUCCACACAUGCCAGGGCAAGGACACCCCAUUGUCCCCCACCCCACAUCUCUCUGUGGGGCACAGUUUCAGGUGCCAUGGAUGCAGGGCACCCUCUGGUGGAGCUUACCUACAGCUCACUGCUGCCCACCCGUGUUUUCUCCUGCAUGAGCCCCCCAUGCGUGUGCAGUCCUGGGUGGGCACUUGUGCAUACACACCCCCUGUCCUUGCACAUGCAUUUUGCACACCUGCUCACCCGUGUGAGGAUGGGGAUCACAUCCUGCACAGUGUUGUGCAGGGCUUUGGCUACCAGCCCAGCUUGAACAGCCAGAGAUGGAAAAAGCUAAAUUUACAGGCGGCCAGGAUAGAGGGAACACAAUCAGAUGCACACACAGGCAGACAGGCUCACAACUUUUAUUUAAAAGUUCCUCUUUGAGAUAAUUUUCAGGGCUGUGGCACUGAGAUAGGGAAAGGAUUAAAAAACCCUGUGGUCAAGAAGUGUGGUCCGCAUCAGCUGUCGUUGGUUUCUCACCCAACUUCAGGACUGGCAAAAACGAAAACAGCAAAACAGCCUGGGCUGACACCCAGAGCUGCUGAGUGUUAAUUAACGUGUGCUCCAAUCUGCCCUCAGCCCCAGAACAUCCCAACAUAGGCACAGCUGCGGCUGCAGAAUUCUUUGCUCAAUUUUAGGAAGGAGGAGGUACGGCUGCUGUCCCACUGCCGUUUCCCAGUGGCCAUCCCAGUGUGUAUGACUCUACCUAUGGGGCUGUAGCUUUCCUUGCUCCACGGCUCUCCCAAACGACCCCAAAACCCAUCAGGACCUCAUGGAUCCCACAAGACAGGUGGGAUCCCUGCUUGUCCUGUGUCUUCUGAUGAGGUGGGAAAAGAAUACUCACUUCGGUGCAAUGGGAACUACAGCAGAGCCCCAUAGCCUAGCCAUCUCCAUGCAGAGGACCCAGUGUCGGAGUGUGCUGCAGCUCUGCUGCUUCUCCCUUCCUCUACCCGUUUAUUUUUAUUCCUGGCACGGGAUGGGGAUGGCGGGAGCUGUGCCAGAGCUGCAGCUGCUGGCGGGUUUGGGGUCGAGUGCUGGAAGCUGGGCAUCACUCAGGGUCUGCUUUAGGGCAGUGCUCGGGAUCUGCUUUGGGGCAGUGAGAGGUGCCUCCAUGGCAUGGGGUUGGGGACAGCAACGCCACUCAGUAGAGUUUAAUCCCGGAGUCCUGGGAUGGGGGAAAGCAGAGGCAGCAUCAUCCACAGGGGGCAAUCCCAGAAUGGGGCUGGGCCGGGGGGUGCCGGGCACUGUUUUUGGGGCAGGGAUGGGCGCGGAGACGGAGCUGGAGGUAGGGGCGGGGGUAGCCGGCACCGCCGUGACUCAGCCGGGGGUGGCAGCCGGGAGGUGUUUGUGUUUAGUUUCUAACGUUACCGUUUCCACAGCACCGGGAAGCGGCCCCGAACCCCGGGGGCCGUGGGGAGCCGGACUGGGGCAGCGGGGCGGGGAGGGUCACAGCGCUGCUCACGCCGCAACAGCUAAAAAUACGUCGGGCUAUUGUCGCCGGUAACAAAGCGCCCGGCGUAUUUUUAGCGUUAUCUCCGCCGCCCUCCGGGGAGCGCUCCGCCCGCAGAGCCGCCCCUGUGCCUCAGUUUCCCUCGUGCGCACCGUCCUCCAACCCGUCCCACCCUCACGCGGUCCGCUCUGCUCCAGCCCUGGCAGAGAACGGAUGCAAUGAGUUGGACGGGUGUCACCAGAGGGACUGCUUCACCCACAUAUCUGCAGCCAGCUCCAGGGAGGGAUGUUUGGGACCCUGUGGGACCCUUUGGAGACCUCACGUCACCAUUGUUGGAUAUCUGGCAGCAUCCCUCGCUCCAUCCAUCACAGUACACAGCAGCAGCACAAAGUAAAGUUAUCAGUGUGCCACGCUAAACCACUGCUGUCAUGAGGCAAGAGCUGAUGUGGAACUUCAGGGUGACCCCAGCAAUGUCCCUGUCCCUGCCUGGCGGGACGCAGUGGGCUGGGAAGUGUCUGCUGGCACUGAUGGCCAUAAAAGGUCCUGAAACAGAGCCCGGGCGGGAUCAUCUGGGAUGUGGGAAUGGGGCCUGAGCGGGAUGGGGCGGUGGCACACAGCGUCUCUUCCCUGCUGCCCAUUUGGGAUCUGCAGCACCUCCCACGCACGGCUCAGGGGAACAGUGCCACCCAUUCAUUGGAGCACCUGGGUGGUGGGAGUGAGGAGCACUCAGUGAGUUCCCCCCGACCCCACAACCUCACCCCGCAGACAAUAGCUGCCCUUUGUUGGGGUUUUCUGUGUCCCCUCCCUGCCACCCAGCCAGUGACAUUUACCACCUCCAUGUUUGCAAGGGGACUCAAAGGUCAUAACAUGUGCUGUGGAAUCGCAAAGCACAGCAGGCGCCUCUUUGCUCUCCCAUCUGUUUGAGGUCCAUUGGUGGGGAACGAAGGAUGAAGAAAGAUGAAAUGGGGACCUUUUCCAGUCUGGUGACAUUUGACCUUUUUGAGAUGAAUCCACUGCUACCCUGGGGAUACCUCACUGUGAGUGCAACACCAUGGAAUGCCAGCCUCUAUAGCUGGCCAUGACUUCUAUCCCUCCAGAAAGGUCCCUGCGUCGAGCUCCUGCUCCCUUCCAGACCCCCCAGGCAGUUCCUCCAGGAAACGGGCUGGCAACCCCGUUCCUCCUGGCCACCUCCACGGGGUCCUUGGGAACACAAUCCAUAAUAAACAGGCAGCCUGAGA